UUAUGCCUCAAACAUCUACAGUUGGGUCUAUUGUAUGAGGUAGGUAGAGCGUUAUUGUACUAUUAAUGUAUUGGUGAGUUGUAUGAGGCAGGUAGAGUGUUAUUGUACUAUUAAUGUAUUAGUGAGUUGUAUGAGGCAGGUAGAGAGUUACUGUACUAUUCAUGUAUUGGUGAGUUGUAUGAGGUAGGUAGAGAGUUAUUGUACUAUUAAUGUAUUAGUGAGUUGUAUGAGGCAGGUAGAGUGUUAUUGUACUAUUAAUGUAUUAGUGAGUUGUAUGAGGCAGGUAGAGUGUUAUUGUACUAUUAAUGUAUUAGUGCGUUGUGUGAAGUAACCUUAAGUAUGUUGAGGGAAACAGUAAUUGUGUGAUCUGUGUGAACUGUGUCCAGUGUGUGAUGCCCUUGAAGGGCGGUAGUUAGUGGACUCAAGUUGAACAGGUGUGAGUGUAAACUGUAAAGUUUCUUCUUGUUAUAUUUAUCUGAUAAAGUUAUUCUUCAUACA